GGGUCAGUAGGUUGGUCGUGCCACCGGUACGUACUGGUCUCACUGAUUCCUCCUUCCUGAAGAACCGUAAUGCCAUUAUUUUGGUGUUGCGGGGAAACAGGACUGUUACUUUGAAAAAAUUAGAGUGUUUAAAGCACGCUAACGCUUGAAUACAUUAGCAUGGAAUAAUGAAAUAGGACGAUCGAUCCUAUUUUGUUGGUUUCUAGGAUUGACGUA
rnacentral:rRNA from 1 species